UCCCAUAUUUUUUCUGCCCCCUCCUCAAAGAACCCACUUCCCUCAGGACUCACAAGUGGAGGCCAACCUUGUGAAGAAGGAACACAGGGCUGUGAAAAACCCCACUUCCAUUCUUCUUCCUCUAUUUUGGAGACACCACGGGGGUGGGCAUAUUUCGGGUCUGGAAUUGGUUUCUGCCUGGGAGAAGAAGCUGGAGCCAGGGACAAAGAGCUGGAGCUCAGGGGCUCUUAGAGUAAACUGGUUCAGGCAAGGUGGUAUCCAUGAAGCUCAUCUCUUGGGAAUACAGCCAGGCAGGGACAGCCUUCAGAGGACUGACUCUGCAGAGGAGAGGGGCCCCCACCUCUAAGAGUGAAACUGAGUAUGACCCUAUGGGGCCCUCUUGGGUACAAAAGCCUUUCUAUGUCCCCCAGUUCUUGUUUGUAGGAAAAGGCUUCAGCUUCCUAGACCUUUCCUGAGUUCCAAAGGGCAGAUUCAAACAUUUACCAAUCAAGGAACUGAGGGAACACAGAAACAAAGGAAAGGCAGUCAAACAAUAGUGCAGCAGUAAAGCAGAGUCCUAGUUCCUUCUCAAGGAACUCCUUAUCUUUGAGUUCUUCUGCAGGAACUAAGGCCUCCAUCCAGGUAGAGGAUGGUAAUUUCAGGCUGAACACCAGAUUCCUAGAACACCACCCUGUUACCUCACCACUAACUGAUCAGAAGAAAGUCACACACCCUGCAGCCCUCACCCCAAAUUUGCCUUUAAACACUCUUCCCCGAAAAACAUCAGGUCUUUUGAGCACCAGCUCUCCAGUCUCCUUGCUUGGCCCUUGCAGUACGCCUUUAUCUGCUCCAAACUCUGAUGUUUUGGUUUGUUUGGCUUCACUGCGUGUUAGGUACACGAACUUGCAUUGGACAACAAUUUUGGCGAGCCAGCCAGGAGCCCAUGCCUGUGACAGGUCAACCCUGGCUGGGGGCAGUCCCUUCCCUGAGUCCCCAGCAGCUGCUAAAGCUCAUUUUGUUUCAGGGAACUCAGAGGGACUCUCUCUGACAGACACCAACCACCACAGCACAAGGCUGUUUGGAGCUGAGAAAUGUCCUGAUCUACAGUUCACCUUUACUUUUGUUUUGGUGUGAGUCACUCCAGCUUGUGCAGGCUGGGAAUUCUGUCCCCACCAACUGGGUUCAUUUCCUUUCAGGAAUUGAGCCACUCUGGCUCAUUGUGAGCCAAUCUAGACCCAUUCCCUCUUGGGAGCUGGGCCAAUCUCUUUGGAGGCCUCCAUCUGGGAAUGGGAGUGGAAUUUGGACUCUAUCUCAUCUGAUCUUUUGUCUGUGUGACUGUAUUUGUUGUUUGUAUCUUUGUGUGUAUAUCAGUACUUGCAUUGGUUGGUUGAGACACCUCUGGUAACAGAGACUGCGUGUGAUGACACCAAAGUAUUCAUCCCUAUUGCAUUGCCUUCACCUACAGUGGAGCAUUGGUUGGGAAUUUUCCCUUUCUAGGGCUACGGAACUGUGACCCUGAGAGACUGUUUUACAUUGCAGUAUUUGCUGUUUGCUUGAUAUUUGACAACACCAGAAUUUUGGGAGAGACAAUUCUCUUUGAGCUUCUUGCUCUCCUGCAUCUCCUCCUGUGUGUGCCAAGACUGUAAAGUCCUGACCCCUGUUUUGCCUGGGCCAUUUCUCAGCACUGCGUGGGUGCCCAAAGCACAGAGGCUGCAGGUCGGAAGGUGGUGGCCUGUGCAGAGGAAGAAAGAAGCCCCUGGGCCCACGCACCGGACGCUGGGAGCAAUAAGUGGCAUGCUCAGGUGUAGACCCUGGAGAACUGGAGAAAAGAGGCUGACAUUGUUUCCUUUCUGCUGCUCCCACCGUCCCCCAGGGGCUAGCCUCCACUGCCCCCUGUGCUCCAUGAACUGCCAGCCAGGGGUUAACGUGUUGUUCUGGUGUUAGGGACUCACAUCACUGUAGUCCCUGACUCUUGUGCAUGUUAGACUCCUUGGUUCAUGUUCUCAUGGAGUAAAAAGGCUCCCGAAUUCAAA